AAUGUAACCCAAUGCCAUGGGACUUUGCUGUGGUCUGUUGGUGGACAGGUAGAGAAUCCAGAAAGAGCAGAGGAGGUGGGUUCCUAAACACCCCCUAGCCUCCCAUCCUCCUUUCUCUGCCUUGGGGAGAAAAUGGAUAGAGGAAGGGGGCUGGGGUGGGAAGGAGACAGGUAAAUUUAGGUGAGUGAGUCUUAAAGCGGGGGCUAUUUUGCAUGAAACUCCUCUCCUCCUGGUUCCUCCCCAGGACUGAUACAGCAGAGCAUGAGAGGCAGCGGGGGGAUUUAGGGACCUCUUUCUGGGUUCUCUACCUGCGGCUGACUGUCCACCAACAGACUACAGCAAACUCCUCAUGGCAUUGAGUUAACCUGUAACUUGCUGUUCAAGUACAUUGCUGGCAAUAUCUGGAGAUUUUUUUUUUUUUUUUUUUUUGAGACGAAGCCUCACUCUUGUUGCCCAGGCUGGAGUGCAAUGGCACGAUCCCGGCUCACUGCAACCUCCACCGCCUGGAUUCAAGCGAUUUUUCUGCCUCCGCCUCCUGAGUAGCUGGGAUUGCAGGCACCUGCCACCGCACCCAGAGAAUUUUUGUAUUUUUGGUAGAGACAGGGGUUUCACCAUGUUGGCCAGGCUGGUCUUGAACUCUUGAACUCAGGCGAUACGCCCGCCUUGGCCUCCCAGAGUGUUAGGAUGACAGGCGUGAGCCAUCGUGCCUGGCCUGGAGAUAUUUUUGGUUGUUAUAAUUGUGGGGAGAGGAAAGGGAAUGCCACUGGCAUCUGGUAGGCGGAGGCCAGGGAUACUGCUAAACAUGCUACAGUGUGCAGGGCAGCCCCACGCAACAGAGAAGUAUCUGGCCCCAGUGCCAAUAGCACUGCAGUUGAGAAAGCCUGAUUUAGGUAAAGUAUUCAUUUUAGAGAACCCUUAGGUGCUCUUCAGGGUUUAUUGCCAGAUUUUGACUUAACCUUUAUUCACUCUUAACCAAUAUUUAUUGAAUGCCUACUGUCUCCCAGGCACCAUGUUGGUAUUACAAGCCUUGACUCAUUUUAUCCUGAGAACAGAGGUCAAAACCCCGAGGGAUGUGGCCUACGGGUGUGUUUUGUUUGGCUUGAACAGUGUUUUUUGUUUUUCAUCCUUUUAAACAAAUCUGGGAUGAGUUAUACACAUUUAAAACUCAGGAGAUUUCCUACAAAGUCCGGGCUUCCAGCUUUUAUGGAAAACUGAGACCGGUCUGGCCGCCCCGGGCCUACAUUCUCAGAUGGAGCCAGCUGACUGGGGCUGGGUGGCCACUGCCUCCUUCAGGGACCCCAUUGUCUCCCACGGGCCCCAACACGCCCCAGGGAGCUGGAUCAACUGCCACUUAUUGCUACCCUUGCCACCAUACCUGGCACCUGCAGGCAUCUGAGCUUAUUACCUCUGCCUCAUUUAAGGUUCCAAAUUUCAGGCCCCACAAUGUGUCCCAAACCUACACCUGUGACCCUUUGUUCAUCCAGCCUCUUUCCCUCACUUUCCAAUUCCUACUGGACCUCUCCAGAGAAGAAUUUUUUCACAGAUCCAUGAAUGGACUUGUUUCUGAACCACCCUCCAAAGGAGAAAUGACCACAAACACCUAUGACCUCAACAGCAGCAUCAGCACAAUCUCCCUGUU
rnacentral:lncRNA from 10 species